rnacentral:snRNA from 1 species
AUCGCUUCUUGGCCUUUUGGCUUAGAUCAAGUGUAGUAACAUUUCAAUUUUUAUCUGACAUAUACUCAGUUUCUGCCCUUUUGCAAGUAUGGAGUGGGAAAAAAUAACAUAUUUUAGCUGUGCAGCAUUGUCUGUUUUAUUGGAA